rnacentral:rRNA from 1 species
UAGUUGGUGAGGUAACGGCUCACCAAGGCGACGACGCGUAGCCGGACUGAGAGGUUGGCCGGCCACAUUGGGACUGAGACACUGCCCAGACUCCUACGGGGGGCUGCAGUAACGAAUCUUCCGCAAUGCACGAAAGUGUGACGGAGCGACGCCGCGUGUGGGAUGAAGUUCUUCGGAAUGUAAACCACUGUCAGGGGUUAGAAAGUUCUGAUCAACCCCAGAGGAAGGCACGGCUAACUCUGUGCCAGCAGCCGCGGUAAGACAGAGGUGCCAAGCGUUAGGCGGAAUCACUGGGCUUAAAGCGUGUGUAGGUGGACUGGUAAGUACUUUGUGAAAUCCCGCGGCUUAACCGUGGAACUGCUUGGUAUACUGCUGGUCUUGAGCCUUCUAGGGGUCAGUGGAACAAAUGGUGGAGCGGUGAAAUGCGUAGAUAUCAUUUGGAACGCCAAUGGUGAAAACAACUGACUGGGGAAGUGCUGACACUGAGACACGAAAGCCAGGGGAGCAAACGGGAUUAGAUACCCCGGUAGUCCUGGCCAUAAACGAUGUCCACUAGAUCGCAGCGGCUCUGAUGUCGUUGCGGUCGAAGCAAAAGUGCUAAGUGGACCGCCUGGGAAGUACGGUCGCAAGGCUAAAACUCAAAGGAAUGA